rnacentral:tRNA from 1 species
GGUGUCGUGGUGUAGAUGGUUAUCACGUCAGUCUAACACAUUGAAGGUCUCCGGUUCUAGCCSWGGCCACGCCA